GACGAACGCUGGCGGCGUGCUUAACACAUGCAAGUCGAACGGAAAGGCCCUGCUUUUGUGGGGUGCUCGAGUGGCGAACGGGUGAGUAACACGUGAGUAACCUGCCCUUGACUUUGGGAUAACUUCAGGAAACUGGGGCUAAUACCGGAUAGGAGCUCCUGCUGCAUGGUGGGGGUUGGAAAGUUUCGGCGGUUGGGGAUGGACUCGCGGCUUAUCAGCUUGUUGGUGGGGUAGUGGCUUACCAAGGCUUUGACGGGUAGCCGGCCUGAGAGGGUGACCGGCCACAUUGGGACUGCGAUACGGCCCAGACUCCUACGGGCGGCAGCAGUGGGGAAUAUUGCACAAUGGGCGGAAGCCUGAUGCAGCAACGCCGCGUGCGGGAUGGCGGCCUUCGGGUUGUAAACCGCUUUCGCCUGUGACGAAGCGUGAGUGACGGUAAUGGGUAAAGAAGCACCGGCUAACUACGUG
rnacentral:rRNA from 1 species